UACAUUUUCUUGCCACAAAUCGUUGCCACUUUUUUCUCUCAAGUUCCACUUCUCUUCUCUGUUUUAAGCUUAGUUGAAUUUUACUAUAUGUGAAAUUAUUAAAAACUGCGACUUUCAAUCAAGAACCCGUUCUAAAUUAUUUUCGAGCGGUUAUCGACCCGAUGUUGACCGAUCCGUAAAAAUUGCUACAAAAGUACUUGAAUCUAACCCUGGCAUGCCCCCCGCAGGCAGCACUGCCUAUAAUUUUAGCUAUAAUCGUACGCAAUAACUUUCGCUGAAAGAAGCGGCAUCACUGAGCGAGUAUCCUUUCUCUUUCUCCCUGAACUGAACUGUCAUUCAAAACGAAACAGAAUAUGGAUCGAGAUUCAAACUGUUGCUGAAGAUUUAAAAGUUAAAUGACAUUGGAAAGAUCAUCAGUCUUCAACUCAUUGGCACUGGACAUAGGACAAUCUUUCUCUAUCUCUAUAAUAAUGUCACUAUCUGUGAAUAUCAGGUAUCAUGUUCCAAACGCUGUCCCCCUCCAACGAGAGGAUCUCCAUUCUCCAGUGUACGUUUCCGAUCCUGUUAUUAGCCCCGUUCAUCAUCUCACCGACGAUGUCGAAUCAGUAAAAUCGUUACCGUGAGUGAAAAGGAAUUCAUUCUACUGGAAAAAAUCAAUCAUUCAUUUAGAACAUUCAACUUCAAACUGCGUCAGGAAGAUUCACUGGCCUCUGAAGGCUCAGACAAGCCGAUCGGCAGUUUUUUUACGUAGUCCAUGAAAGAACACAUUCCGAAACAGAAGCAGUUUUAGCUGUGCAGGUUGAGUGAUUUGGUUAACCAUUGAAUUGUAAAUUGUUAUGUUAACACUGGAAACAAAUUUUUAUUCUCACAAUGCCCAAUAUGAACAAUUAAUCAAUCUAAUAUCAGACUAUGUCAGCGAUUAAUCUGAUACAGGGAUAUAGCUUAGUGUAUAACAGCCACUGUGGGCGUUAGGAAUUAUUGAUCAUAAUAAGUAGUAAUGUAUUGUAAAAAUGUAGUACAUAU